rnacentral:misc_RNA from 1 species
GAUGAAGAACGUAGCGAAAUGCGAUAAGUAAUGCGAAUCGCAGAAUUUCCGUGAGUCAUCGAAUCUUUGAACGCACAUUGCGCCCAUUGGCAUUCCGAUGGGCAUGCCUGUUCGAGCGUCAUUAUCCUCCCUCAAACCCCUGGGUUUGGUGUUGGACUGUGUGGUGCCUGGCACCACUGGUCUCAAAGACAAUGACGGCGUCCGUGGGACCCUCGGUGCAACGAGCUUUUCGAAGCACGCGUCGAGUGGACAGUCUCUCCGGGCCGGUCACCUCUCCAAUUUUUCUCAGGUUGACCUCGGAUCAGGUAGGAAUACCCGCUGAACUUAAGCAUAUCAAUAAGCGGAGGA